rnacentral:lncRNA from 1 species
GGCGGUUGGCGGGAAGGAAGUCCAGCCCCCUCAUCUUCUGCUCCAGCCACUUCCAGCUGCCUUCCUGGAAUCCCAGAGACUGAAUCAGAGCAUUUUGGAGCUAGGCAGACCACCUGCCACAUUUUCAGCUGAGGCAGUUGGGGCCCAGAGAGGUUAAGGGCCUGCCCAAUGCCACACAGCCAGUGGGUAAGGCCUACAGUGCUCUUACCAGGACCUCAAACCUUCAUUCUGAAACACCAAAAGCUGCCAUCAGACCAGAGAAGGACCCUCUUGAAAUAAACAUAUUAGCUUUGAAAUCCCUGGCCUCAGGAGGACCAGCCAUGUGCUUCUCAUUUGCAGAGUAGAGGG